rnacentral:rRNA from 1 species
AUUGAACGCUGGCGGCAGGCCUAACACAUGCAAGUCGAGCGAGCGGCGGACGGGUGAGUAAUGUCUGGGAAACUGCCUGAUGGAGGGGGGUAACUCCUGGAAACGGUAGCUAAUACCGCAUACCAGCGGAUGUGCCCAGAUGGGGUGAGCUAGUAGGUGGGGUAAGGGCUCACCUAGGCGACGAUCCCUAGCUGGUCUGCGAGGAUGACCAGCCAAACUGGAACUGAGACACGGCCCAGACUCCGACGGGCGGCAGCAGUGGGGAAUAGUGCAAAAGUGGCGCAAGCCUGAUGCAGCCAUGCCGCGUGUAUGAAGAGGGCCUUCGGGUUGUAAAGUUCUUUCAGUGGGGAGGCGUUACCCGCAGAAGAAGCACCGGCUAACUCCGUGCCAGCAGCCGCGGUAAUAC